AAAAGAAACCAACAGGGAUUGCCUCAGUAACGGCGAGUGAAGCGGCAAAAGCUCAAAUUUUAAAGCUGGCACCUUCGGUGUCCGCGUUGUAAUUUUGUGAGGCAUCUCCGGGUAGGGCGCCGGCCUAAGUUCCUUGGAACAGGACGUCAUAGAGGGUGAGAAUCCCGUGCUUGGCUGGCUGUCCCCGUCCAUGUGAGGUGUCUUCGACGAGUCGAGUUGUUUGGGAAUGCAGCUCAAAAUGGGUGGUAAAUUUCAUCUAAAGCUAAAUAUUGGUGGGAGACCGAUAGCGCACAAGUAGAGUGAUCGAAAGAUGAAAAGCACUUUGAAAAUAGAGUUAAAAAGUACGUGAAAUUGUUGAAAGGGAAGCGCUUGAGACCAGACUUCGGUGGGGAGUGAUCAGCUGUCCUUCUGGGCGGUGCACUUGCUCCCCUCCGGGCCAGCAUCGGUUGGGACGGCGGGAUAAAGGUCCCGGGAAUGUGGCUCCUCUCGGGGAGUGUUAUAGCCCGGGUGAAUGCCGCCAGCCCCGACCGAGGACCGCGCCUUCGGGCUAGGAUGCUUGGCAUAAUGGUCUUCAGCGACCCGUCUUGAAACACGGACCAAGGAGUCUAACAUCUAUGCGAGUGUUUGGGUGUCAAACCCUUACGCGAAAUGAAAGUGAACGGAGGUGGGAACCCGCAAGGGUGCACCAUCGACCGGUCCCGAAGUCUUCUGAAGGAUCUGAGUAGGAGCAUAGCUGUUGGGACCCGAAAGAUGGUGAACUAUGCCUGAAUAGGGUGAAGCCAGAGGAAACUCUGGUGGAGGCUCGCAGCGGUUCUGACGUGCAAAUCGAUCGUCAAAUUUUGGGUAUA
rnacentral:rRNA from 1 species